GACAGCGUGGCCUAGUAGUUGAAGUGUUGGACUGUGACUCUGGAGACCAGGGUUCGAAUCCUGGCUCUGCCA